CGCCUCCUCCCGAGGCAUGCUGGGAGCCUGGAGGACUAGCGAGGAGGAGUUGAGAGAACGGAGCGGACGCCAUGGCGGCCGACAUCGAGCAGGUUUUUAGGUCUUUCGUGGUCAGUAAAUUCCGGGAAAUACAACAGGAGCUUUCCAGUGGAAGGAGUGAAGGCCAGCUGAAUGGUGAAACGAAUGCACCCAUUGAAGGGAACCAGGCAGGUGACACAGCUGCCUCUGCAAGGAGUCUCCCAAAUGAAGAGAUAGUGCAGAAGAUAGAGGAGGUCCUCUCUGGGGUCCUAGACACAGAACUGCGAUACAAGCCGGACUUGAAAGAGGCCUCCAGAAAAAGUAGAUGCGUAUCUGUACAAACAGAUCCUACCGAUGAAGUUCCCACCAAAAAGUCAAAGAAGCAUAAAAAGCACAAAAACAAAAAGAAGAAAAAGAAGAAAGAAAAGGAAAAAAAAUAUAAAAGACAACCAGAAGAAUCUGAGUCCAAGCUGAAAUCUCAUCAUGAUGGGAAUGUUGAUCUAGAAUCUGAUUCCUUCUUAAAGUUUGAUUCUGAACCUUCAGCAUUGGCACUGGAACAUCCUGUAAGAGCAUUCGGCUUAUCUGAGGCCAGUGAAACCCCCUUAGUGCUAGAGCCUCCAGUAGUCUCAAUGGAGGUUCAGGAACCACAUGCUUUAGAGACGCUGAAGCCAGCUACAAAACCUGCAGCACUGUCAGCUGUGUCUACAUCAGUAAUCUCGGAGCAGCCUGAGCAACCUGUGCCAGUUAUGCUGGAGCCACCAAUGACAAAGAUUCUGGACUCCUUCGCAGCAGCACCAGUGCCUAUGUCAACAGCAGUGCUGAGGUCGCCUGAGCCCGUUGUAACAAUGUCAGUGGAGUAUCAGAAGUCUGUGCUGAAAUCUUUGGAGACUGUGCCUCCAGAGAUAUCAAAGACCACGCUGGUAGAGCUUCCCAUAGCAAAAGUGCUUGAGCCAUCAGAAACCCUCACAAUAGUAUCAGAGACACCUACUGAGGUGCACCCUGAACCAAGCCCAUCAACAAUGGAUUUUCCAGAGUCAUCUACAACUGACGUGCAAAGAUUGCCAGAGCAGCCUGUAGAAGCACCGCCGGAGAUCGCAGAUUCAUCUAUGACAAGACCUCAGGAGUCACUGGAGCUGCCUAAGACCACAGCGGUGGAGCUGCAGGAGUCGUCGGUGGCCUCAGCCCUGGAGUUGCCGGGGCCACCUGCAACCUCCAUGCUGGAGUUGCAGGGGCCCCCUGUGACUCCAGUGCCGGAGUUGCCUGGGCCCUCUGCCACCACCCCAGUGCCAGAGUUGUCAGGGCCCCUUUCUACCCCAGUGCCUGAGUUGCCAGGGCCCCCUGGGACAGUGGUCCCUGAGUUGCCGGGGCCCUCUGUGACACCAGUGCCACAGUUUUCACAGGAAUUGCCAGGGCCUUCAGCACCAUCCAUGGGGUUGGAGCCACCACAGGAGGUACCAGAGCCACCUGUGAUGGCACAGGAGGUGUCAGGGGUGCCUGCAGUGUCAGCGGCAAUAGAGUUGACAGGGCAACCUGCAGUAACAGUAGCAAUGGAGUUGACCGAACAACCUGUGACGACGACAGAGUUCGAGCAGCCUGUGGCGAUGACGACGGUGGAACAUCCUGGGCAUCCUGAGGUGACAACAGCAACAGGGUUGCUGGGGCAGCCAGAGGCAGCAAUGGUGCUGGAGUUGCCAGGACAGCCAGUGGCAACCACAGCGCUGGAGUUGUCUGGGCAGCCUUCGGUGACUGGGGUGCCAGAGUUGUCAGGGCUGCCUUCGGCAACUAGGGCACUGGAGUUGUCAGGGCAGUCUGUGGCAACUGGGGCAUUAGAGUUGCCUGGUCAGCUCAUGGCAACUGGGGCACUGGAGUUUUCGGGUCAGUCUGGGGCAGCUGGAGCACUGGAGCUUUUGGGGCAGCCCCUGGCAACGGGGGUGCUAGAGUUACCGGGGCAGCCUGGAGCGCCAGAGUUGCCUGGGCAGCCUGUGGCAACUGUGGCGCUGGAGAUCUCUGUUCAGUCUGUGGUGACAACAUCGGAGCUGUCGACGAUGACCGUGUCGCAGUCCCUGGAGGUGCCCUCGACGACAGCGCUGGAAUCCUAUAAUACGGUAGCACAGGAGCUGCCUACUACAUUGGUGGGGGAGACUUCCGUAACAGUAGGAGUGGAUCCCUUGAUGGCCCAAGAAUCCCAUAUGUUAGCUUCUAACACCAUGGAGACCCAUAUGUUAGCAUCCAACACCAUGGACUCCCAAAUGCUAGCAUCCAACACUAUGGAUUCUCAGAUGCUAGCGUCCAAUACCAUGGAUUCCCAGAUGUUAGCCUCUAGCACCAUGGAUUCCCAGAUAUUAGCCUCUAGCACCAUGGAUUCCCAGAUGUUAGCAACUAGCUCCAUGGAUUCCCAGAUGUUAGCAUCUAGCUCCAUGGAUUCCCAGAUGUUAGCAACCAGCUCCAUGGACUCCCAGAUGUUAGCAACCAGCUCCAUGGACUCGCAGAUGUUAGCAACCAGCUCCAUGGACUCACAGAUGUUAGCAACCAGCAGUAUGGACUCUCAGAUGUUAGCAACCAGCUCCAUGGACUCUCAGAUGUUAGCAACCAGUUCCAUGGAUUCCCAGAUGUUAGCAACCAGUUCCAUGGAUUCCCAGAUGUUAGCAUCUGGUGCUAUGGAUUCUCAAAUGUUAGCUUCUGGCACUAUGGAUGCUCAGAUGUUAGCAUCUGGUACCAUGGAUGCCCAAAUGUUAGCAUCUAGUACCCAGGAUUCUGCUAUGAUGGGUUCAAAAUCUCCUGAUCCAUAUAGGUUAGCUCAGGAUCCUUACAGAUUAGCUCAGGAUCCCUAUAGGUUGGGUCAUGACCCCUAUAGGUUAGGCCAUGAUGCUUACAGGUUAGGACAGGACCCUUAUAGGUUAGGUCAUGAUCCCUACAGACUAACUCCUGAUCCCUAUAGGAUGUCACCCAGGCCCUAUAGAAUAGCACCCAGGUCCUAUAGAAUAGCACCUAGGCCAUACAGGUUGGCACCUAGACCCUUGAUGUUAGCAUCUAGACGUUCUAUGAUGAUGUCCUAUGCUGCAGAACGUUCCAUGAUGUCAUCUUAUGAGCGCUCUAUGAUGUCUUAUGAACGCUCUAUGAUGUCCCCUAUGGCUGAACGCUCUAUGAUGUCGGCCUAUGAGCGCUCCAUGAUGUCAGCUUAUGAGCGCUCUAUGAUGUCUCCUAUGGCUGAGCGUUCUAUGAUGUCAGCUUAUGAACGCUCUAUGAUGUCAGCUUAUGAGCGCUCCAUGAUGUCUCCUAUGGCUGAUCGAUCUAUGAUGUCCAUGGGUGCCGACCGGUCUAUGAUGUCAUCGUAUUCUGCAGCUGACCGGUCUAUGAUGUCAUCGUACUCUGCAGCUGAUCGAUCAAUGAUGUCAUCUUACACUGAUCGAUCAAUGAUGUCUAUGGCAGCUGAUUCUUAUACUGAUUCUUACACUGAUUCCUAUACGGAGGCAUAUAUGGUGCCACCUUUGCCUCCUGAAGAGCCCCCAACAAUGCCACCAUUGCCACCUGAGGAACCACCAAUGACACCCCCAUUACCUCCUGAGGAACCACCAGAGGGUGCAGCAUUAUCAACAGAGCAGUCAGCAUUAACAGCUGACAAUACUUGGUCUACAGAGGUGACAUUACCUACUGAAGAAUCUGUAUCACAGCCUGAGCCUCCUGUGAGUCAAAGUGAGAUUUCAGAGCCUUUGGUGGUACCUGCUAAUUAUUCAGUGUCAGAAUCAGAGACUUCAAUGUUAGCAUCAGAGGCUGUUAUGACUGUUCCAGAACCUGCACGAGAGCCUGAGUCUUCAGUUACAUCAACACCAGUUGAGUCUGCUGUAGUAGCAGAACACGAAAUGGUUCCAGAGAGACCAAUGACUUACAUGGUUUCUGAGACUACCAUGGCAGCUGAACCAACUGUGUUAACAUCAGAGGCUUCUGUUAUGGCAGAGACAUCAGAAACAUAUGAUUCCAUGAGACCAUCAGGGCAUGCCAUCUCAGAGGUAUCUAUGUCACUCUUGGAGCCAGCAGUAACUAUUUCACAGCCAGCAGAGAGCAGUCUGGAGCUCCCAUCCAUGGCUGUCCCAGCACCUUCCACUAUUGCUACCACAGAAUCUCUUGUUGCAGUCCCAGAACUUGCUGCUGUGGCUGACUCAGAACCUCCCAUUAUGGCUGUGCCAGAACCCCCUACUGUGGCUGUCCCAGAACCACCUGUUACGGCUGCUCCGGAGCCACCUCCUAUGACUACUCCUGAACUUUGCUCCUUAUCUAUCUCAGAACCUCCUGUGGCUGUCUCAGAGCUUCCGGCUUUGGCUGACCCAGAGCAUGCUGCCACUGCAGUGUCGGGUGUUUCUUCCCUGGAGCCUUCUGUGCCUGUCUUGGAACCAUCAGUGUCAGUCCUUCAACCUGUUAUGAUUGUUUCAGAACCAUGUGUUUCUAUCCAGGAACCCACUGUGGCAGUUUCAGAACCCGCUGUCAUAGUCUCAGAGCACACUCAAAUAACAUCACCUGAGAUGGCUGUAGAGUCUUCACCAGUAAUGGUGGAAUCUAGUGUUGUGUCAUCACAGAUUAUGAAAGGAAUGAAUUUACUUUCUGGGGAUGAAAAUCUCGGUUCAGAGGUUGGCACUCAGGAGACUCUGUUGCAUCCAGAUGAAGAGCCACAUGAUGGAGGACACUUGAAAAGUGACUUGUAUGAACAUGAGUAUGAUAGAAAUACAGACCUUACUGUAAACAGUCAUUUAAUUACUAAAGAAGCAGAGCAUAGUACAGCAUGUGCUGCUGCCAUUGUUCCUGUUGGUGAAACAAGUGAAGAGAAGAUUUUGCUUAUUAGUGAGACUAAGGAGAUGACAGAAUUGGACACCUGUCCUGCUGUUAGUGAAGCUGAUGUAGGAAGAAGUCUGUCUUCUCAGCUUGCUCUGGAACUGGAUACAGUAGGAACUAGUAAGGGGUUUGAAUUUGUUGCAGCGUCUGCACCCAUUUCAGAGAGUAAAUAUGAUGUUGAAGUAUCUGUAACUACUCAAGAUACUGAGCAUGACAUGGUAAUUUCCACCAGCCCCAGUGGUGGCAGUGAAGCAGACAUAGAGGGACCUUUGCCUGCUAAAGACAUUCAUCUCGAUUUGCCAUCAACAAAUCUUGUUUGUAAGGAUGUGGAAGACUCAUUAUCUAUAAAAGAGAGUGAUGAGACAGUGGCAGUGGCUCUUAGCCCUAAAAGCAGUGAAGAUACAGAAGGACCUCUUCCCAAUAAAGAAAUAGUUCCUGAUUCAGGUUAUUCUGUCAGCAUUGAUGAAAUUAAUGAAGCUGACUUAGUGAGACCAUUACUUCCUAAGGACAUGGAGCGUCUUACAAGCCUUAGAGCUGGCAUUGAAGGACCUUUACUUCCUAGUGAGGUUGAACGUGACAAGUCAGUUGCCAGUCCAGUUGUAAUUAGUAUACCAGAAAGAGCUUCAGAGUCAUCUUCAGAGGAAAAGGACGAUUAUGAAAUUUUUGUAAAAGUUAAGGACACACAUGAGAAAAGCAAGAAAAAUAAAAACCGUGACAAAGGUGAGAAAGAGAAAAAAAGGGACUCUUCAUUAAGGUCUCGGAGUAAGCGUUCCAAGUCUUCUGAACAUAAGUCACGUAAGCGUACCAGUGAGUCUCGUUCUAGGGCAAGGAAGAGAUCAUCUAAGUCCAAGUCUCAUCGUUCUCAAACACGGUCACGGUCACGGUCACGACGUAGGAGGAGGAGUAGCAGAUCAAGAUCUAAGUCUAGAGGAAGACGGUCCGUAUCAAAAGAGAAACGCAAAAGAUCUCCAAAGCAUAGAUCCAAGUCCAGGGAAAGGAAAAGGAAAAGAUCAAGCUCCCGAGACAACCGGAAAACAGUUCGAGCUCGGAGUCGAACUCCAAGUCGUCGGAGUAGGAGUCACACUCCUAGUCGGAGGAGACGGUCUAGAUCUGUUGGUAGAAGGAGAAGUUUUAGCAUUUCCCCCAGCCGAAGGAGCAGAACCCCCAGCCGCAGGAGCAGAACCCCCAGCCGAAGGAGCAGGACCCCCAGCCGCAGGAGCAGGACCCCCAGCCGCAGGAGCAGGACCCCCAGCCGCAGGAGCAGAACCCCCAGCCGUCGGAGAAGAUCAAGAUCUGUGGUAAGAAGACGAAGCUUCAGUAUAUCACCAGUCAGAUUAAGGCGAUCAAGAACACCUUUGAGAAGAAGGUUUAGUAGAUCUCCCAUUCGUCGGAAAAGAUCCAGGUCUUCUGAAAGAGGCAGAUCACCCAAACGUCUAACAGAUUUGGAUAAGGCUCAAUUACUUGAAAUAGCCAAAGCUAAUGCAGCUGCCAUGUGUGCUAAGGCUGGUGUUCCUUUGCCACCAAACCUAAAGCCUGCACCUCCACCUACAAUAGAAGAGAAAGUUGCUAAAAAGUCUGGAGGAGCUACCAUAGAAGAACUAACUGAGAAAUGCAAACAGAUUGCACAGAGUAAAGAAGAUGAUGAUGUAAUAGUGAAUAAACCUCAUGUUUCGGAUGAAGAGGAAGAAGAGCCUCCUUUUUAUCAUCAUCCCUUUAAACUCAGUGAACCCAAGCCCAUUUUUUUCAAUUUGAAUAUUGCUGCAGCAAAGCCAACUCCACCAAAAAGCCAAGUAACAUUAACAAAGGAGUUUCCUGUGUCAUCUGGAUCUCAACAUCGGAAAAAGGAAGCGGAUAGUGUUUAUGGAGAGUGGGUUCCAGUAGAGAAAAAUGGCGAAGAAAGCAAAGAUGACGAUAAUGUGUUCAGCAGCAGCUUGCCCUCAGAGCCUGUGGACAUUUCAACAGCAAUGAGUGAACGGGCACUUGCUCAGAAGAGACUCAGUGAGAAUGCAUUUGACCUUGAAGCCAUGAGUAUGUUAAAUCGAGCUCAAGAACGGAUUGACGCCUGGGCUCAGUUGAACUCUAUCCCUGGGCAGUUCACAGGAAGUACAGGAGUACAAGUCCUGACACAGGAACAGCUGGCUAAUACUGGUGCCCAAGCCUGGAUUAAAAAGGGCCAAAUCCUUGUAGCUGUCUUCUUGCCCCGGUCAGUGCCAGCCGUACUAUUCACAACACUGCUGCUACCGAGGCCUAGGAUCAGUUCUUAAGAGCAGCCCCAGUAACUGGAGGAAUGGGAGCUGUGUUGAUGAGAAAAAUGGGCUGGAGAGAAGGAGAAGGACUAGGAAAGAACAAAGAAGGAAAUAAGGAACCCAUCCUUGUUGACUUUAAGACAGACCGAAAAGGUCUUGUUGCAGUAGGAGAAAGAGCACAAAAGAGGUCUGGGAACUUCUCCGCUGCAAUGAAAGACUUGUCAGGCAAACAUCCUGUGUCUGCCUUGAUGGAAAUCUGUAAUAAGAGAAGGUGGCAACCACCUGAAUUUCUCUUGGUCCAUGACAGUGGCCCUGACCAUCGCAAACACUUCCUCUUUAGGGUAUUGAUAAAUGGAAGCGCUUACCAGCCCAGCUUUGCCAGCCCUAAUAAGAAGCAUGCUAAAGCCACAGCAGCUACUGUGGUUCUUCAAGCAAUGGGCCUUGUACCAAAGGACCUCAUGGCUAAUGCCACUUGCUUCAGGAGUGCCUCACGUAGAUAGAUUGAGGUUUUAUAUUAAUCAUUUCAGAUAAUUUUACUCUGCAUCACAAUGUAUUUCCUCCUUAAUGUUGUAAAUAUUUCACAAUUUAAGACAUUGUGUAAAAAGCAAUCUGUACAAACAUCUCCAGGCUUUGGUUUUGUACCAUGGAAAUUGUAUUUAACCACACAGGGUUUUGGUAUGUUUAUAUUGUUUACCUUAGUGAUGUAUUUGUUUAAGUGGCUAACAUCAAAACAAUUGUUUGAGGGCAUCAGUAAUAUUCAGUGUGGAAUGUUAAAUAACGCUUUUAUACUGUAUUUUGUACUAUGAUGUAACUUCCCUUCCAUACGGCUAGGCUGCUGUAACACUUGCCUGUAAUCAGUGAAGGGCUGUGCACCUUGUACUAUUUCACAAUGGGUUCUGCUGGACAGAUACUGGGCCAGUGUUAUUAAAGUAAUGAAGCAAGAUCUGUCCCACAGGGCUAAUGCCACCAUCUCCCCCUUUUUGUAGAGAUUAUGAAAAGAAAGUGAUACGUUGUGUCAUGAUCAGUACUAAGUCCUGCAUUCCCAUUAAAGCCACUUGGGUCAUAAGAAAGAAGUCAAAAUGGAAGUCCAACUAGAAUUUUACUUCAGAGGCCAAGUACAUAUUUAGUAUGGCUUGAGUUGUGAUAUAGUUUUACUUUGAUGUGCAUUUUGAAUUUCAGCUACACCUAGAUAGACGUAAAUAAUAAAAAUGCUGUAACCAACUUAUCUAAUAAAAAUUGGCAACCAGCCGCUAUUUUGUUGACUGAGAAAGUUUAAGUUUAUGUUAAUUUUUUAGGGUCUGAUAGAAUAUUCAUGUGUAUUACAGUGGUAUUCAUAUGCUA